rnacentral:sRNA from 1 species
AGAGGCAGCAAAACCUUGGGUUUUGUUGGGAACAUCAUCUCUCACUACUUUGAUCUCUUGGCCAUAUGACAGACUAAUCUUAGUGUCUCAUUUAUUCUUCCAGCGGUCAGAUGGGGUGCUCACAUGCUGCAGGUUCCUUACAUGUGCUUGUUUCCUUCCCUAAACUGAAGGUAACUUUGAAGGCAGUCUUUUUCCACAUCCAUCAAGUGCUCUGGGGAAGAACACUUCUUAGCUAUUCCAUCAACACUCUUGCCAGUCUAAUCUCACCAUCAGUUUCCCCUGGCCUGCCCUUUGUCUGAAACUUUGAAGGUCUUAUCGAAUGUUACUUAGCCUCCAACAGUAUUCG